UACGUAGGGGGCAAGCGUUGUCCGGAUUUAUUGGGCGUAAAGAGCGUGUAGGCGGCCUGGAAGGUCAGCUGUGAAAACUCGAGGCUCAACCUCGAGACGUCGGUUGAAACCACCUGGCUAGAGUCCGGAAGAGGAGUGUGGAAUUCCCGGUGUAGCGGUGAAAUGCGUAGAUAUCUGGAGGAACACCGGUGGCGAAGGCGGCAUCCUGGACCAACACUGACACUGAGGAGCGAAAGCCAGGGGAGCAAACGGG
rnacentral:rRNA from 1 species